ACUCAGCUGAUGAGUCUUAAAUGGGACGAAACGCGCAUCCUAGAU
rnacentral:hammerhead_ribozyme from 1 species